CCUGAACACUGGCCUAGUUUGUCCAUUCAUUCCUUCACGCAUUCAUUCAUUCAAGAAGCAUCUAUCAAGCAUCUCCUGCGUACCAGAUGCAUUGCCAGUUGCUGGAGAUUCAAAGCCAAAAUCACGAAGUCACCAGAGCCAUGAGGGCCAGACCUGGAGCACCUCAAACAAACUUGGUGCUGAUCAGGGAAGGCUGCUCGAGACCUCGGAUGGGUUCUUGAGAAAGGGCCAGAGUCUGGGAGCCCCUUCCUCGUGGGUGCUGCCUCAGAGCCCCAGCUUCAGGGCUGAAUCUCUUGCUACCAUCAGACCCUUCAGGAAGCAUCACAGUUACCUUCCUCUCCAUCUUCCGAGGCACUCCCUCUGCUCCCAGGACCAGAAGCUCUGGGAGAGUAGAGACCACACGAGUUUCCUUCUGACUUUCCCAGACAUUGCCUGGCACUUUGCAGCAACCCCAUGACUGUUAUCUAAGUCAACUUUUUGACUCAUUCCAACCCCACAGCUACACAGCCACUAGCUGUGUCAUCUUUGGGAAUACAUGUCUUUCUAGUUUCACCUGUGAAAUGAGCUCAAGAGUAACUACUACUCACCAGAAAACACCAUCAAUGACUGGACACCUGUUUUCUUAUAUACCACUAAGAAAACAAACAAACAAACAAAAAAGAAUACUUCCGCAAACCUUUGACUCAAUGUUUUUAAUCUCUUGGAAUUUCAUUUUAUAUUUAAAAUUAUUUUAAAAUCUCUUUGAGAUUUAAUCCAUAUAGAUUUUAUCUCAUGUCACUCUUGCAUGCGUGUGUGCUAAGACGCUUCAGUUGUGUAUGACUCUCUGCGACCCGCUGGACUAUAGCCCACCAGGCUCUUCUAUCCAUGGGAUUCACCAGACAGGAAUACUGGAAUGGGUUGCCAGGCCCUCCUCCAGGGGAUCUUCUCAACC
ensembl:lncRNA